UCUGUUUUUGUCAGCCAUAAUGUAGACUUCAAAAUUUUUGUGCUCGUCACGUAUCCAUCGACAUCCAUGUCGAAAGUUGUGUAUUUACUACCGCAUUAGCGGUCCGGGUGUUGGCGACCUCUCGCUGCCCCAUGCCUGAGGCGUGAUCCAUAAGCUUCGCCCAUAACAUCUGGGCACCCCAGGGCUUGUCCCGUGGUUCUACGGCGAUGGGAGCCGCCAACAAAAAUCCCAGGAAAGUUUUCGACGACUAAAUCCUAAGCAUGCAGCAUGGGUAGUUAACCUGUUUCGGCCACGCAUAUCUUCUUGCAAUUUCAUCGACUAUUUCAUCAAACUAUUCCUUUGGCAUCGUAAUCAACAUUUAAUUCAUGAGCAAUAUUUUAAUACUUUCUGUAUCUUAAAUUUACGUUAAUUAUUUUGAAAAUGUAACUAAGUAAUAAUUAUUUUGAAGAAAUAACUAAGUAAUAAUAAUUUUUUUUGGGGCCCCAUUUUUGUUUUGACUGUACGAAUACUCAAUUAAUACUCUUUAUCGUGUUUUAAAUAAAUAUGUUUUGUUAUGGCUGACCCGAUA